GUGCUCACUUUGGCAGCACAUAUACUAAAAUUGGAAAGAUACAGAGAAGAUUACCAUGGUCCCUGGGCAAGGAUGACACGCAAAUUCGUGAAGCAUUCCAUAUUUUU
rnacentral:snRNA from 1 species